rnacentral:piRNA from 1 species
CUCCACGUUCAGGUGGGUGUUAGGGUC